rnacentral:rRNA from 1 species
GACGAACGCUGGCGGCGUGCCUAAUACAUGCAAGUAGAACGCUGAAGGAGGAGCUUGCUUCUCUGGAUGAGUUGCGAACGGGUGAGUAACGCGUAGGUAACCUGCCUGGUAGCGGGGGAUAACUAUUGGAAACGAUAGCUAAUACCGCAUAAGAGUAGAUGUUGCAUGACAUUUGCUUAAAAGGUGCAAUUGCAUCACUACCAGAUGGACCUGCGUUGUAUUAGCUAGUUGGUGGGGUAACGGCUCACCAAGGCGACGAUACAUAGCCGACCUGAGAGGGUGAUCGGCCACACUGGGACUGAGACACGGCCCAGACUCCUACGGGAGGCAGCAGUAGGGAAUCUUCGGCAAUGGACGGAAGUCUGACCGAGCAACGCCGCGUGAGUGAAGAAGGUUUUCGGAUCGUAAAGCUCUGUUGUAAGAGAAGAACGAGUGUGAGAGUGGAAAGUUCACACUGUGACGUAUCUACCAGAAAGGAC